UUUGUUGAGAAUCCAACCGUCCAAGAAACUUCGUUUAAUGUGAGAGUCCUCCAUAAAUUUCCUCCACAGAUGUUCGCAAGCAAAUUAACGGAUCUGAAAUUGUGGCAUAACUUGUAUCCAUCUCUUCCAUACGUGUCUUAAAUAGAUGCGUACCUACCGAGAAGUUUUUGGGUGCCGAGCAGGUACCACGGUACCUAUCAGCGAUUCCAAUUGUCCAAAUGUGUUUUGAACAACCCAGAUUUAUUCCCCCCCCCACCAUCUCUUAAAGAUUGGGCCAGAGGAUUAGUCGAGGUGCCCGAAUGCCUGAGUUAUGAAUAAAAAUUUCUAUCGAUGAAAAUUUGGAUUACAUAAUUUUGAGACAUCGAUUUUCGGCUCAAUUUUGGUGCUGUAGCUAAAUGCCAUUGUGCACAAUUCCUUUGUCCACCCUAGCACUAUUGGUAAUUAUCUAAUCUGAUUGGUUAUUAACAUUUGCACAUUUAAUCGUAUUGUUUCGAUUUGUUAGUAUACAAAAAAAAAAAAAAAAAGAAAAGAAAGAAGAGAGGCUUGCGCUCUAAUGUGUGUUGGUCGUUGCUGGUAUUUGGUAGAAAUCUCAGACUUUGAUCUACCUGGCUCAUCGAGGCUUUUUCCAGAUUAUUGGCAAGACCAUUUGCGUGCUGUUAAGACAUGGAUUGAGAGCUUGGCCAGUUUGUGGUUGUCGAUGUGUUGCUGUGGCGGAGAUGGUGUGGAGCGGUUAUUUUGUUGGGCUCUUCUACGGCCUGUGGUUCCUAUUUGAGUGGGCAGGUUACAACCUCUUGUCUUUCACUGCAAAUGUUCUGUUGCUUCUCGUUGCCAUCCUUUUCUUUUGGGCUAAAUCUGCUUCAUUACUCAAUAGGUGGGUAUAUGUGCUUUUAUACUUUGUUGCACUGCGUUCGCUUUAUGUUAUUUAACUAUUGUCCAUAAUUAAUUAGAAACUUUCUAUAGAUUUUGUGCUCUUAUAGAUCUUAUUUAUGCUAUAAACAUGAUGGUAUAUGUGUAUAUACAGUGUACUCGUAUAUUCGUUACCCUUGGAAUGCUCAUUCAGAUGUAUGGUCCACUAAGCAAUAACAGAAUGACAUGAUAAAAUUAACUGAUUUUGGUGAAUAGUCAUUACAUUGGGAGAUUAAGGAAUGCUCAUUCCACUCAAACAAAACUCUAACGAGUUGUUUAUUUUGUUUGUCUUAACAGUUUAAAACAUUAUAGGUGGGUUGAACCAUUAUUUUAUAAUGGUGGGAUUGAGAAAUUUUAGCAAUAAAAUUUUGAGCCAUCAUGCGUGCUCUUGGCAGCUUUGUCCUGCUUGAAAUGUUACCACAUGAAUACUGAAGCUCUAGGAGGUUUUGAUUAAUUGCAGAUCCUACCAUAUUCUUCGCUAAUGUUGCAAGGGUUUAAACUAUGGUUCUCAGGGUGUAACCUUCUUGGUGAUGUGCAUGGUGUUUUUCUUUACGUCUUUCGAUGAACAAUUGCUUAGCAAAAGAAAAUUGCGGUCCUUUGCCUCCCCUUCCUGAUCUGGAAAUUUCUGAGGAAUCUGUUUUGACAGCUGCUGAUGUAGCCCGAGUGUGGAUGAAUCAUGAUUGUCAGUUGCUCAUGACAUUGCAGUUGGUCGAAAUGUGAAACUUUUCUUCAGGCUGCCUCUGGCUUGUGGGUAAUUUUGUACAUUGGUAGUUUCUUCAACUUCCUUACUCUGGUCUACAUUGGGGUUCUUCUUAGUUUGUCGGUCCCCGUGUUGUAUGAGAAGUACCAGGCUCAAGUUGAUGAGAAGCUGAUUGUAGCUCAUAAGAUCAUUCAGACACAAUACAAGAAAUUAAAUGAUAAUAUCCUGAGAAAGAUGCCUCUUAACCAGAAGAAGAAAACUCAAUAAGCCAAUUUUUUAAUCAGAAAACAUUGUACAAUGCUUACAAGAAAAGGACAAAGAAUGUCGAGAUUGGCAUCGAAGAGUACAAUAGAAUGAAAGAAGUUGAUCCAGAAUUCUACAUAGAAGCUUCAACCCUUCAAUAUGGAAAAGACAAGACCAUCAUGGAUUUAGUACUAGAGAACAAGAAUGUUAGAACCCAAGUGGUUGAUGACUGACGAAACAAUUGCUGCCCAAGCAGAGCACCAAGGAACGGAUCAUGCGAUUUACCAAGCCUGACUUCUACGGUGACUAUAACAUCUUGGGAAUUUGGAAAGUCAGGUGGUAGAGUGGUUAGAUGCUUUGUUUCAUAACUCGUUUGAGCAUUAUAGCAGUAUAGGUGAUGCGUUUGGUUUCACACUUUACAUCAUCCGGCGACGGCAACGGCAACAGCUGUCGUUAACGUCUGGCGACUUCGAUUGCCUCACGAUCCAGCGAAUGAAGUUCAAAUUUCCCGAUUAGGUAGGAUUCCCAAUUUUUCGGGUUUUCAAAACAUUUCGGCAAUCUAUGUGUGUAAACAAUAUUAUGUGCUCGUAUGAUUUGCAGCAAAAGCUCUAUUCUGUACUCUAAACUACAACUACCUAGAUUGACUUUCAAACUUUCAGCUUAUGUAAUCUUUUGCUCU